GCCCCAGUAGCGCAGUGGAAGCGCGUUGGACUUCUAAUCCAAAGGUCGCGGGUUCGAUCCCCGCCUGGGGUA